ACAGAGCUGGUGGGAGCUGGGAAUAGGUGAAAACCCUGCCCCCUUGUGAGUUGGCAGGACAGGAGCCUCCUGUUCCCUGGCUGCCGUUGUGGCCACCCAGCCGUAGCCCUGGAGCCAGGCAUCCCUGUGCUUGGGGAUCAGAGCGAGCAAGAGCAGAGCCCCUCCCUUCUGGGUGCAGUUGCAGCUGCGCAGCCAUGACUGUGGUCCUGGACAUCUCUGUGCUCUUGGGGGCUGGGAGGGCCCUCUGCCUCCUGCCCCUUACCCACUCCAGAGCCUUCUCUCUGUUGAGAGCUAAGCAGACAUCAGGACUACCAGCUGCAGAGAGGAGCUACCCACUGUGGGCUUCCUCUCUGCUGAGAGCUGAACACUCAUUGGGACGCCCUGCCUAUGGAAACCAGCUGUUCACUCUGGGUCUCCUCUGAGCUGUUCUGUCGCUCAAUAAAGCUCCUCUUCUUACUCGCCCUCCAUUUGUCUGCCCUACCUCAUUCAUCCUGGGUACAGGACAAGAACUUGGGACCUGCUGGUAUGGUGGAGCUAAAAGAGCUGUAACACAAACAGGGCUGAAACAUGCCCCUUGCUCGCCACGUUGUGGAUGACAAGAGGGAGGGAAGAAAGGAGAGAAGAUCUGCGACCCUUCAGCAAACCCAGACUUAGGAGAUCGCAGAGCCAGGACUGUGACACCCUCUCUGGGGCUCUGUGGUUCCUGGCGUCUCCAAGCUUCUGGGCACCACGGCUUUCCCCGGUGCCAGUCGUGGAAGCUGCUUGUGGCCUCCAUUUACUGUUCGGGAAACCCUCUUACGCUAUGAAUGUUAGCUGUCAGCAAACACUGCCUCCCACUACAGGGGCACACAGUGUUGGUGCCUGCUUUUCCACCCUCCAGUUCCAACAGGAAGCAAGCACAGGACCCAAGCAUUGCAGACAGUUGUAUCACGCCAAUGUGCAUUCGGAGCCACUGACAGAGUCUUGCUUUGUCACCCAGGCUGGAGUACAGUGGUGUGAUCACAGCUUACUGAAACGUCUGCCUCCCAGGUUCAAGCGAGUUUUCUGCCUCAACCUCUGGAUUAGCUGGAAUUACAGUGUUAGCAGUCACUGAUGCUCAAACAUGAGAAGACUGGGACAUCCAGCAGAUAAGGAACACUGUCCAAAGUGUUAGACUAAUAAGUGACAGGGUUGGGCAAUGAACCCAACUACUCAACUUUCAGAAAAAAGCAAUUCUUUUUCUGAGGAAAAUAGAACUCACUCUGCUCUGGCUUUUAUGAGGGGGAAUAUGAUAUAAGCAGUUGAGGAAGAAUGCUCCAUGAGUUGCCAUCCUUCCCUCUUCCGCAUGCCAGAAGAGGUAGAGCCCACUGAAGAAGGAGCAGAAUAAGGAAUGGAAACCUUAGUUACAAGUUCAAGGAAUUCUACCCACUUUAUUAUUCUUUUGUGUGUAACUUGAUUUAUAGUUUUUACUUUGAAAGAAUGUAACUAUUGUACAUGUUUCAUAAAGUAUCAGUAGCUGAAUAGACC
rnacentral:lncRNA from 1 species